CUACUUUGGAAAAAUAAACUAAUUUCUAAAUGCUUUAUUUCGUUAAGAUUUUUAUUAAAUUACUUUUCUUAUAAAAGGUAUCUCCACUAAUAUAUUUAUAUAAGUAAGACUUGAAGGGCUUAGGACCGAUAGCUCGCCUUAUUUCCUGUUCUUGUUUGAUGUGGGCUUAGGGUAUUAGUUAUCCGUCCGACUGUCGUUGAUUUCUUAGUUACAUAUCAUGUAUAUUGGUGUUAGAUACGAACAUUUUCAUCUCAUUCGAUGUCUCUGUCAUAUAUUUGCCAAGAACCAUACACACUAAGUUAACUAUAAUAGGUAUAGUUAAGGUCACUACUACUCGUUACUACUACUACGAUACACUCUAUAAUUCAUACUACUACAAGAUGAUACAUGAAUAAGAGAACACUCUAUGAACUAUACAAAAGACUACUACACUAUAUUACAAGAGAAAGCACUAACCCAGAGUAUAGCACACUAAUUCUCUACAAGACACUCUACGCGCUACACACCGUGACCAGAGCUUUCCGGAAGGAAGGCGACGCUACAUGUAUAGAUCUAUAUGGGGCAGACACUAUUAUAUCCCGACUGUUAACCUCAGUCUGAGCCGAGCAGGCCCAGGGAUGGCACUACUUCACUACACUAUGUAUGACCGGGAAGGUCAUGGGAUCCUCUAUUGCUCACACUAUUGGUCACAUAAAAGGAAUACACUAUAUCCACACUAAAAUACUAAGACUAAAGUCUCAGUUAAUAUCCCGAAGUAAAUAAGUAUCUAUUACUAAUGGAAGAUCGCACCACUAUUACUGUCAACAGGCAUAACUUUUCCUCUAUCUAUACUACAUACUGGAGAUUUAGUACCACACUUUUACAACAAACAAUUUUCAAUGGUAAUACUUACAUGCAACUUAGAUUUUUUCACUUACGACGUAUUUUCUGGAAAAUAUAGGAUUUUCUAGGGUUUUCUACUACUUAUAAAUGUAAAUUGCAGUUUUUCACACUGUAUAUUCUAAUACAUUUUAUAUAAAAUUCACACUAAAUUCUUAUGAACUCACCAGCUUUAUGCUGAUACUCGUUUUCAAAAUAACUUGUAUCCUCAGGUCAAAGAUAGACAGGUACAGGUGCAGCAUUUUGGAGAAGAUGGAGCAUACAAGAUCCAUCUCUUAUUUUUGUAUUACUUUUGGUGUCUAUUGAAACUUUAUAGAACACACUUGUAAUUAAACUCACUAUGUAAUGAAAUGGUUGUAUGUUUCUUGUUUUUACUAUUAUGCAAUUGUGAUGGUACUGUACAUGAUGUCCUCCACCCCGAAACGUAUUCCGCCGUUAUCGGUUUUGGGGUGUGACAGAUUGGUAUCAGAGCAUUGUUUAUAGUGAAUCAAGUAUAUCAACCUAUAAAAGAUAUACGAACUAUAAACACUUCGGGACUAAAACACUCUGACCAAGAAUAUAUACUGUUAAGUAUUUAAAAGAUUUAACUAAGUAUAUAUACACACACCUCUAUAAAACACAGAAGUCAGUAUCGCACUAGAACAGAACAAAAGUAUUAAGAUUGUUGGACAGCACAAUUGGGCUUAGAGACAUAUAGUCACAUCUGGGGGGAUGUAGCCUGAUCAACUACAUUUUCCUGGGAGUGACUAGCAUGUGCCUAAGUUUGGUUGUGGUGUUGCAACAAGUCUAAAACUUACCAACACUACCACAAUAACGUUAGCAUAAGAAUACUAUAGGAGUAUUUUGUACCUCUAAAAUAUACAUAUGUGAGAACUAAAAAGGGUCAUUACUAGUAGAGCAAUAGUUGCUAAAUGGAUACUUUCCGGUUACCUGUGAUUAGGGCGUUAUAGACUUAGAAUCUGUGAUCUUUGCUUUACUUCCUGUUCUUUGUUUGGUUGUGGAUUUAGAGUUAGGGUCACUUAUUCGACGGACUAUCCUGCCCCGUUCACAUGUAAUUAGUAUGCAUCAUGCAAGUAUUGGGCUAACUCGUGACGAUCACAUUAUAAGUAUUUUAGGUUAGUACGUCUAUUAAUCUUCCUUUCCCCUUUUCUCGCAUAGAUAUCAUGGAUGGCUUCCACCUUCCCGGCGAUCCGUACUACCCAAACCAGGGCAAUGGAGGAUGGCUCGACGAAGAGUCGGACGAUGAUCACCAGAUCCCUCUAGAUGACCACCGAGCAGAAGGCUUUUCGGAUAGAUCCGACUCCGAGCCAGAAGUUAACAACCUACCUCCUGAAGCUCCGAACCCCAACCCCCGUCCGGCAUUUUAGGGUCCCACUCCCCUGUGGGCAAUAUCCUUGAACCGAUGGAGCGAGGAGCAGGACCAGCCUUUACCUUUCAAUGGAGACCGAAGCUUCUACAACAUAAGCGAAGGAGGAUCAUCGGAUCGGGUUCUGCCCAUCAUGGUCCGAAGGAUUGCCAGGAAUGUCGAGCAGGGUCAAGCAGCCAUUGGUCGAGUUGUAGAAGUGGAUGCCAACUCGAAUCUCAACACUGUUCGCAUCCGCCAACUUGAAGAAGCCAUGGACAGGACAAGGAGGACCAACGAGGCUCUGCAGCAACAGCUAACUGCAUCCCGAGCCGAAGUUAGGGNAUCGACACCUUCAAGAAGUUAUGCGUCAGGUAGCGGAUCUGAGGAUUCGCCCAACAAGUAACCGUCGCUAGUAGAAGACGUCUAGUUACCUCACUCUUUUGUUUAAAGGACUAGCCUUCCCUCUCUAUGUUUCGUAGAUCACUUGUCUGUAAACAUUCCUAGCUUAAAAGUACUCUAAUUAAACCUCUAGACUGCCAACAUUUUCCUUAUGGUUUGAUGUAUGACCUACUGUUAGGUCAUUUUUCAUGAACUUGUAUUACAUCAUUAAUACCAGUAAAUUGGCAGUUAACUACUCUAUUACUAUGGCUCUUAUUCUGAUCUUUGGAUUAUGUUGAUUUAAUCCAUGAAACACUUUAUUCAUAUUCGCAAUAGACUCUUACUAUUGCUAUUAUUUCUAUGAUCUUCCAGUGAAAGAUGCCUCCAUGAAAGCGUCCAAACAGAGGAAGACCGGCAACUCAAACUCCUCCUCCACGGUUCGAUCCAGUGAUGUUCCAAAUGGCUGUGACUACAGCUGUGACAGUAGCCAUGGCUCAAAUGAACUCUGGUGAUGCGAGCGGUGGCAACUCUAGAUUUGGUGAAGUCCAUCAAAGAGUGCAGGGAUGCACUUAUAAGGACUUCAUGAACUGCAAACCUACCUUCUUCGAUGGUACCGGAGGAAUUCUAGCGUUGUCUCAGUGGUUUGAAAGAACCGAAGCUGUCUUUGAAAUAUGCUCUUGCCCCGAAGAGAGCAAAAUCAAGUUUGCUACUGCCACCCUCACUAACAGGGCCUUGACAUGGUGGAACAGCCAUGUCAGUGCACUCUCCUUGGUAACAGCCAAUGCCAUGGGCUGGGACACUCUGAAAGACCUCAUGAGAGGGGAGUACUGCCCUAGGGGCGAAAUUCAGAAACUUGAGUAGGAACUCUGGAACCUCAAGAUGAAAGGGACUGACAUAACAGCUUACACGGCCAGGUUCUGCGACUNAGGAAUCCUAGCAUUGUCUUAGUGGUUCGAGAGAACUGAGGCUGUCUUUGAAAUGAGCUCAUGCCCCGAGGAGAGCAAAAUAAAGUUCGCUACUGCCACCCUCACGAACAGGGCCCUGACAUGGUGGAAUGGCCAUGUCAGUGCACUCUCUUUGGUAACAGCCAACGCCAUGGGAUGGGACACACUGAAAGACCUCAUGAGAGGGGAGUACUGCCCUAGGGGCGAAAUUUAGAAACUUGAGUAGGAACUCUGGAACCUCAAGAUGAAAGGGACUGACAUAACAGCUUACACGGCCAGGUUCUGCGACUUGGCGACUAUGUGUCCCAACAUGAUCCCUUCUGAAAGCAAGAAGAUCGAACGAUACAUUUGGGGUGUAAUGCCUCUGUAUCAAGGAAACGUUCUAGCCUCACGCCCUACCACUUUUGACAGCGCCAAAGAAUUGGCCCAGAGUCUAAUCAAUCAUGAAGUCUCUUCCACUCCAGCAACAGCAACCACAACUGCCACUGCACCACCCGAUUCAGCUGACAGAAAGAGAAAGCGUUGGGAUAAGAAGAAAGGCAAGAAAACUCAAGCCCAGUCCAAGGACCAGCAAAUUGUGGCGGUCCAUGCUGCCACCACUCCAGCCACUCCUGCACCAACAAAAGCUUAUGUUGGGAAUCUGCCCAAAUGUCCCAAGUGCCCUUACCACCACAACGGCCCAUGACGUGAAUUGCAGUGUUCCAACUGUGGCCGGAAGGGCCAUACUGUCCGAUUUUGCAGGGCCCCUCCCAAACCUAUCUCGCAAGUUCCCGGUUCGGGAGUGACCCAGACUUGUUAUGGCUGCGGUGAAGCUGGUCAUUUCAAGAAAAACUGUCCGAAGGCUGGGAAUGCUGGGGGGAACUAGAAGACUACUCGUUAUUGGUCACAAUGAAGAAGUGGCGGAUCCCACAGUAGUCACGGGUACGUUUCUUCUCAACAAACCUUAUGCCUGUGUCUUAUUCGAUAGUGGUGCAGAAAGAAGCUUCAUAAACCAAAACUUUAAACACUUACUCAAACAAUCCCCGCAACCACUAAAAGAAACAUUCGUCGUAGAAAUGGCUAACGGGAAGACCGAAAGCUCCAACGAAAUCUACAUAGGUUGCACCCUCACGUUAGACGAUCACUCAUUUCCAAUCGACCUUAUACCAGUCUCAAUCAAGAAUUUCGAUGUCAUUGUUGGUAUGGACUGGUUGAGUCUUCAUCGCGCCGAUAUCCUAUGCUUUGACAAAGCCAUUCGCCUGAAUCUCCCGAAUCACGAAACUCUAUUGAUCUAUGGAGACAAACCCGGUACGAUCCUUCGUAUCAUCUCCAGUAUUCAGGCCCAGAAACACUUGCGUAAGGAAUAUCGCGCCUUUCUUGCUCACGUCGUCGACACAAGCCAGAAAGCAAAAAAUCCGAAAGUCAUCCCCAUUGUAUGCAAUUUCCCUGACGUCUUCCCAGAGGAUCUUCCAGGUCUACCUCCCAAACGUCAGGUUGAGUUCAGUAUCGACCUAGUCCCAGGGGCUACCCCCGUAGCUAAGUCGCCUUAUCGUUUAGUGCCUGCCGAGAUGCAAGAACUAUCCGAUCAACUUAACGAGUUGCUCAGCAAGGGCUUUAUAAGGCCGAGCUUCUCACCCUGGGGAGCUCCGGUCCUAUUCGUAAAGAAGAAAGACGGAUCGUUUCGUAUGUGCAUCGAUUAUAGGGAACUCAACAAACUCACGGUCAAAAAUCGCUACCCUCUCCCUCGUAUCGACGACCUAUUCGACCAACUACUAGGGGCAAGUUAUUUUUCCAAGAUUGAUCUUAGGUCCGGGUACCACCAGUUACGGGUGCUUGAGGAGGAUGUUCCGAAGACAGCUUUCCGAACCCGUUACGGGCACUACGAGUUCGUGGUGAUGCCCUUUGGACUGACUAACGCACCCGCAGUGUUCAUGGACUUGAUGAAUAGAGUGUGUCGUACAUACUUGGAUAAAUUCGUCAUCGUCUUUAUUGACGAUAUACUCGUCUACUCUCGGAGCGAGGAAGAACACAAGGAUCAUCUACGACGAGUCCUGGAAACACUACGAUCUGAGAAGUUAUAUGUGAAGCUCUCUAAGUGCGAGUUUUGGAUCCGAAGAGUUGAUUCUUAGGACACGUGGUUAGUGAAGAAGGAAUUCACGUGGAUCCCUCCAAAAUUAAAGCUAUUGAGAACUGGUCAGCACCAAAGACGCCUACAUAAAUUCGUCAAUUUCAAGGCCUUGCUGGCUACUACCGCAGAUUUAUUCAAAACUUCUCUCGGAUUGCGAAACCUCUCACCAUGUUGACACAGAAGGGCGUAUUCGACUGGGAAGAGAAACAGGAGAAGGCAUUCCAGACCCUGAAGCGAGCCCUAUGCACCGCACCAGUAUUAUCCUUCCCCGAAGGAACAUAAGAUUUUGUUGUAUACUGCAAUACAUCGAAUCAGGGGCUCGGUUGUGUCUUGAUGCAACGAGGUAAGGUCAUCACCUAUGCCUCGAGACAGCUAAAGACACAUGAGGUGAACUAAACUACUCACGACCUCGAGCUAGGAGCGGUCGUCUUCGCACUGAAAAUCUGGAGACACUACUUGUAUGGAACGAAGAGCAUAGUGUACACUGAUCAUAAAAGCCUCCAACACAUACUGAACCAGAAAGAGCUUAACAUGAGACAACGCCGAUGGGUCGAGCUACUCAAUGAUUACGACUGUGAAAUUCGAUAUCACCCGGGGAAAGCCAACGUGGUAGCAGACGCCCUAAGUAGGAAAGAGUAUUCUGGUUGAAGAACCAAGUCAUUAACGAUGACUAUCCAUUCGCAUCUAUCCGCAUAGAUCAAGGAGGCUCAGCUUGAAGCCUUAAAGCCUGAAAAUGUGACGGGAGAAUCCCUGCGUGGAAUGGAUAAGAGUUUAGAGGUCAAGGGUGACGGAGCCUACUAUCUCAUGGACCGAAUCUGGACUCCGCACCACAGAGGUUUCAGAGAUUUGGUCAUGAAGGAAGCACACAACACUCGAUACUCUGUCCACCCAGGUUCGGAUAAGAUGUAUCUGGAUCUCAAAAAGCUAUACUGGUGGCCUAACAUGAAAGCAGAGAUUGCUACCUUCAUGAGUAAGUGCCUUACUUGCGCGACGGUCAAGGUCGAAUACCAGAAGCCAUCGGGACUACUCCAACAACCGGAGAUACCGGAAUGGAAGUGGGAGCGGAUCACAAUGGACUUCAUAACCAAGCUGCCCAAGACAACAGGUGGGCUGGAUACCAUUUGGGUCAUCGUCGACAGAUUGACCAAGUCUCCACACUUCCUACCCAUCAAGGAGACGGACAAGAUGGAGAAACUCACAAGAACAUACAUUAAGGAAAUAGUACGGCUGCAUGGCGUCCCUAUAUCUAUUAUCUCAGAUAGAGAUAGUAGGUUUACCUCGAGAUUUUGGCAAUCACUACAAAAGGCACUAGGGACGAGGCUGGAUAUGAGUACCACCUACCAUCCGCAGACUGACACAAAGUGAGAGGACGAUCCAAACCUUAGAAGAUAUGCUGCGAGCUUGUGUGAUUGACUUCGGUAAGUAAUGGGAUACACACUUACCCCUUGUGGAGUUUUCCUACAAUAAUAGUUAUCAUACGAGCAUCAAGGCAGCUCCAUUCGAAGCCCUCUACAAUAAGAGAACACUCUAUGAACUAUACAAAAGACUAAUACACUAUAUUACAAGAGAAAGCACUAACCCAGAGUAUAACACACUAAUUCUCUACAAGACACUGAUACUCGUUUUCAAAAUAACUUGUAUCCUCAGGUCAAAGAUAGACAGGUACAGGUGUAGCAUUUUGGAGAAGAUGGAGCAUACAAGAUCCAUCUCUUAUUUUUGUAUUACUUUUGGUGUCUAUUGAAACUUUACAUAACACACUUGUAAUUAAACUCUCUAUGUAAUGAAAUGGUUGUAUGUUUCUUGUUUUUACAAUUAUGCAAUUGUGAUGAUAUUGUACAUGACGUCCUCCACCCCGAAACGUAUUCCGCCGUUAUCGAUUUUGGGGUGUGACAGUAUAUUAAUGUUGGAUUAAUGUGCAAGUCCA
rnacentral:lncRNA from 1 species